GUUGGCAUCGAUGCUCUGGAUAUAUAAAGGAGGAAGGCAGAACAAUGAACACCCAUCAGAGCAACAAAGGUCUCUCCACGCUUGCAUGGCUACCAUGGCGAUUCGGUGCAUCUUCACCGCUUUCUUGCUUUUAUCUCUUCAUCUCCUAUCAACUCUAGCAGCCGCUUCUCCGUCUUCCUCCAACAAAAUUUCUGCUUUAUCCCCAGUUUCUGUGCAGGGCAGGGACACCGCCACUGGAAUAGCGCAGGCAAAGCCAAGGAAAUUGAAAGGGGGUGGAGGGAGAGGUGGAGGCAGAGGGAGGAGUAUUGGACGGCGUGGAUUCUUUCACCGCACCGGAGCUUAUGGCAAUAGUUCUGCGGCUCAAAGAAGAAACUGCUUGGGGAUGACGACGCUCACGGUGUUGACAGCCAGCUUGAUGGUUACCCUUCUCCUAUAGGAAGCAUUUAGGCCUUCUGACCUGUGAUGUAUAGGGGGUGGCCGAUGGCAGUUCGUCUGGUUCCAUUUGAAAUCCUCUUCAACGGAAUUUGAAAUGUUCCACAGAUGACAACUAUGAAGACGGAAACCUGGACCUGCUCAACUACUUUGGCCUCCCCAACAGAUUGUAUUCAUCUCCAUUAUACUAUUCACUUCCACAUCAAGAGACAACUAAAUGCUGCCCAACCAGCCAAGAAAAGGUCCG